GGGAGCUGCUGUUGCCGCGGUGGGAAGACGCAGAGCUUUCAGGCCAGCCCCGCGCGGCUCACGGCUUUUGUGGCUGGUGGCUGGUGGCUGCUGGUUGGGAGGCCCCGGAAGGACUUCUACUCCUCCGUAGGCUGGAGGGCACUAGGAGGUCGCAGGUGCUGAGCUGCCGGGGCCUUUGGGCUGUGCUGAAGGGGAAAAGCGCAGCCACUGUCGGGAGUGUGUGCUGUGGAGGCAGUUGCCGCGGUGAUGUUCGCUCCGCCUGGCCCCUGCCGGGGAUUCAGCCAACCAACCCUCAACAGCCGGCGGCGGCUCAGUCUCUGGCCCGGCGCGGUGCUGAGCACCACUGAGCCCUCAUCUUAGGGCACCGAGGCCCGGACUCCUGCAGCCGCAUGUCCAGGCCCCUCCUGCCUUAGCACGGAGCUCCCUUGACUGCUCCAAACAGCCCAGACUGGCGCCUUUUUUGGAUAAAUUAAAACGGGGCCAAUCCGUUGCCAGCGAUUGGCUAACGAUGGGUACACGACCUAGUACGGGCCAGGGAGAAGUAAGCGAGGUCUGUUGAGGCAGAGUUUCGGGAAAGAUCUUCUAGUUAAAAGGGGAGUUGGGUGGGUGGGGGCUGUUUUCUUCCUGUUGUCCUUGCCCAGUGUAAGUUUCCUGGAGCUGCAGCAGCCUUUUUGUCACCAUGAGGGCAGCUGGUGGGAACCCUAGGAAAGCAGGAAAUCACCUAGAGCCGGAACAGCCUGAGCCUCUGAACCAACCCACAGCUGACUACCCGUCACUUUGUCGUGUCUCUGUGAUUUGAGUCCAUCAUUCUGCUGCAGUUGAAGACGAAAUCUUGGUGUAAUGUAAUUUGGCUUUCAUCCCUCUCCUGAUUUCUCAGAAGAUCUUACAAAAAAAUCAUCCUGCCAUUGAAACCCAAAGUGGUCCAUCCAGUCUGGAGGCCGUGGGAACCAUGAAUCCUUUCAGAGUUUGAAGCAAAUGCAAAACUGUUCACGUCAUCCUGGGUUAUUUUAUUGUCUCACCACCUUCCUGAAAUGGAGCUCGAACUUCAUUUAGAGUAGCUCUCGGGCACGCUGGCAGGGGGGCUCCCAGAGCUGAGUGAGCAAGGGGUGCAUUGAGAAGCAGGCGUUCUGCCCCGACCGGCCCACCUCACUCUCCGCAGAGGGAGGCAUUUGUGGUGGGCCAAUGUGCAUGCAGCCCCAGGCUGGACAACUCCAGAAGAAACUCAAGAACACAAAUGUAGAUGAUUAACCAAAAUAGUCUGUUCCAUCUUCCUGCACUGGGGGGAAAUGCCUCUUGUAUUUUAGAGGAGAGAGAGAAUGGGAAGGAAGCCACUGCAGGUGUGGCAGACAUUGGAGGACUCAGGUCAAGUAUAAAACUGCUGUGGCCACGGAUUUAACUAAGUUUCAACCAAGUAGCUUUCCAGGUUGGGUGACAUCUGCUACAUGCUAGAACUAGCUGUGGAGUCUGUGCUUUGGCCCCAGUUUGGAGUCCAGAACUAUUAGCAUGUAUCACCGAGUUGUGUUUGUAAGGGUUGUGUGUAUUUUUAGUGCUUCCCAGAGCUUUCUACCCUGAUCGCCUUCCACAGGUAGAAGCGGCUGACUGUACCUGGUACCUGGGGCCACUCCAGAGGUCCCCUCUGGGAGGUGAUGCCUCUGUGCACAAGCAGCCUGUGCAAGAAUGUCAAGGUCAGCGGAAGAGAGGGCACACGCCCUCCAAGGAGGUGGUGUGGGUUGGGACUCAGUGUCCUGGAAGGGACCUCCUUCAGGCAAGAGCUCUUGGAGUCAGACGGCACGAAAGAACCUGAGUAUAGAACUUCUCAGGUCUCUAAGGAAUUACAUCUGAUUCUAUAAGAAUCAGAAGUUUGUUGGCCAGGUGCAGUGGCUCACAUCUGUAAUCCCAGCACUUGGAGAGGCUAAGGCAGGAAGAUCACUUGAGCUCAGGAGUUGGAGACCAGCCUGGGCAAUAUAGUGAGACCUCAUCUCUAUU